GUAAGGUCAAAGAUGAGGUGGAUCUAACUGGGCCUUGGGCAUGGGCGCCUACCUGUCAGACUCUGUCCUUCUCAGACAGCUGCCCAGGCAGGAGCUGCCUCUUGGGACAGUGAGUGGGCCAUCUCCAUUGAGAGAGUAGGGGGACAAAGGGAAAAGGCAGGGACUGGGUCACUCCUGGGGAUGCUGUUUGACAUAGACCAUGAGGGUCAGCCCCACUGGGCCUGGCUGACCUGGUAGAUGGGUAGGUCUAGGGUAUGAACAUGGAUAUUAGUUGGCCAGGGUGUGAGAACUUGUGUGAAAGGGUCGGCCCCUGGGUGACUCAGUCUCCUAGCAAACUAUAAAAGGGAAGUGACUCAUUUCCAGCCCUGAACAAGAACUCCUAAGGCUAGGCCGCCAGCACCUGUCUGGGACGUGGUUAGUUAUUAACGCUGCCAGUAAGAGUGUCAUGGGAACCAAACGCAGGCCUAGAUGCCUGGAGGCAACUUGGCUUUUCACAGCUUGCAACUGUCCACUCACCUUCCCUUGCUGUGGCUCCUCUCUGCCUGACCCCAAAUGCAGAGGAGCCCCUUGAACUCUUAGUUGCUGGUGGCUCCCCAGAAGAUCAGGUUCAAGUUGCCAGCCAGACUCUGGGCUUCCAGGAGGAGUGGGCUGUGGAUGGCCUGGCCUCAUUUGCAUGUCCCUCUCCUCCCGGCCCUGCAGGUGCCACCUCCUGAGUCCUGGUUCCUGCGGCUCCGUCGAAUCUGCAGUGAAGGCCUUUGGGAAGCGUGGGUUAUGUGGGUCCAGGGGUCCCAUCCUCCCGUGGAGGCCCUUGACCUGAGGAUCACUAACUCACACCCCACCGACUUCCGGCCCCCAACAAGGGCAGUGUUCCUCUUGCUCCAUUCUGCUCUGAAGUCCCCCAAACCGCUUCCUGGGGCUGCUUAGUGAAAUACAAGGCUCAUCUCUGAGGACCUCUACAGGGCUGGAUGGGAAGGACUGAUCCACAUUCCCACCAGGAAGUUUAGCAGAACCCCCGCGUGCCACCUGGACCCCUUGGAAGGACCUGGCUCAGGCUGGACCACCUCUUGAGAGGCAGGAGCUCUGGAUUUGAUCAAGAAUUCUUUGCUGAGCAUGGUGCCUCAUGCCUAUAAUCCCAACACUUUGGGAGGCCAGUGUGGGAGGAUCUCUUGAGCCCAGGAGUUCAAGACUAGCCUGGGCAACACAGAGAGACCCCAUCUCUAAAAUAAUAAUAAUAAUAAAAUAAAAAAUUAGCAGGGCAUGGUGGCAUGUGCCUGUAGUCCCAGCUACCCAGGAGGCUGAGGCAAGAGGAUGGCUGGAGCCUGGGAUGUUGAGGCUGCAAUGAACUGUGAUUACCCCACUGCACUCCAGCCUGGGCAAAAGAGCGAGAGACCCUGUCUCAAAUAAUAAUAAUAAUAAUAAUCUUAUUUUGGAGAAUAAAGAGACCUCUGGAUUUGAGGUGCCAUUUGGGUAGAAAGAAAAGACGUUUACACCGAGAAAUAGUCUGUGUUGCCCUGAAGGAGCAGAGGGAUGCAUCGCUGGAGGUGACCUACAGUUGAAGAAGACUCAUUAUGACAGACCUUGUCCUUCUUCCUUGUGGAAAGUGUUUCCUCUGCUGCUACUGCUCAUGAGACUCUUCCCCCUCCCUGUCCCAGGGAACCAAAGGGCUUUCUACCACACCCUUUCUUGCCCCCCGCCUCCCAUGUCUGCUGUGCCUUUGUACUCAGCAAUUCUUGUUUGCUCCAUUAUCUUCCAGCCGGAUACAGAGUGAAUAGUUAACCACACUUAGGUCAAAUAGGAUCUAAAUUUUUGUUCCUGCUCCGUGUAAAGAGGCCAGUGUUUGUGUGUUGCAAGCAGCCUUGGAAUAGUAACUCUUCUCAUUUGUUUGGGAUCUGGCCACCAAGUUCCAGAAUGAUACACGGAUCAGUGCAGAAGUUCAUCAGGCUCUCGGACCUUAGGGCUGUUGGAGAAGGCUUCAGCAGCAGAACUGAUGGUGAAGGCUCGUGUUCUCCAUCCUCAACUUUCUUUGCUUCGAUCAUACACAAGAAUACAUUUGGAAGGGCAAAAAAUGAACACUGUCGUUCAUUGCAGCCGUGUUUUGUGACACAGAUGCACAGUCUGCUGUGAAGACCUUCUCUCAAGUGGCAUUUGGGAGUCCAUGCCAGAUCAUGGUGCUUCAUGAGAGACUGACAGCUAUCAGGGGUUGUGGCACUUAGUGAGGACUCUCCUCCCCCAGUGUGUGCUGAUGACACAUACACACCUGACAAUAGCUUGAGUCUUCUCUGUUCCUUUUACUCUGUAGCCAACAUACACAUGAUUUAAAACCCUUUCUAAAUAUCUAUCAUGGUUCAUCCUUGUCCAAAUGCAGAGUCAGAGCUAUUUGUACUUCAUUAUUAUUUCCAAGGCGAAUAGUUGGCUUUCUUUUUGCAAAAAUAAUUAAAGUUUUUGUAUGUUGCAGUUGCUGUGCUUGUAUGACCAUUUAGUGAAUUUGGUGUCUUCUAAAUAGAACAGUGGAGUCCUUGUGGACAUCUCAGAUUCAUCACAAAAUGAUUGAGGAGAACCUCUUGAAGAUGUUUAGAGCUAUUGAAAUUUACAGAUUGUUGAUGGGUUUUCACCUUUUCCUUCCUUUCUUGACACACAGUUACAGGCAUUGUAUUCCUUGGAUUCCUACAGGUGUCAAGGAACAGAGAUCCACUUACGUUACCUUCAUAAAUCCUGGUUUAUUCAAAAGUCACAGUAAGGUAGACAGGAAAUAGUCCCAGCCACUGCCUAGCUAAGCCUUUUCAAAAAGCCCAAGGUCAUUCAGCAGAUGCAGAAGCACUAGUUGGUUUUCAAAGAUAACAAGAGCAAUACCAUCAUGGUCGUUUUGAUCCUCUGUUCAGCAGCAGGGUUCGCUGCCCCUGACUUUAGAAUUCUGCCAUCGUGAUGAGCUGAAGGUCACCAACGGUCCCAGUUUGCCCAGGACUAAAGGGUUUCUUGGGAUGAAGGACAUUCAGUGCUAAACCUGGGACAGUCCUGGGCAAACUGGGAAAACUGGUCACCCUCCUGGGUGACUCAACGACCAUGCCUCUACUUUGUUACUUACUAUUAACUGACUGAUGCUGUUGACUGGUUUAGCCAAUCUGCAUUCAGAGCUUUUGCGUCUGGUUACUUCGUUGGCCUUCAGGCAGCCACAGAUGGAUGCUAUUGGAUCAGGCACCAAUGCUGACCAAAUCAAUUGUUUCCAGGAUGGUAGGGUUGUAUGAAGAACCAACUGAGACCAUGUCCUUCUGAGUGUUGUGGAUGGUGGGCAUGGCAGGCCUUCAAGGUAUCAGGGAUUCCUCUCCAAUACAGCCUUACUUACAAAGGAGAAACUAACUUUCUCAUGAAAAACAAAACAGUUCAUUAAGAAACAAAACUAACACAGCCACUGGGAACUGAGGAAGAGAGACUGUAACAUGUGUGCAAGCACACACACACACACACACAUGCAUACACAUGCUGUCUGUAGAAUCAUGAGCCAGGAUUCCAAAUCUGCAUCUUUGCUAGACAGAGAUCAAGAACUAAAACCUUUGGGAUGGUGUUGUCUGGGAAGCAAAGGAGUUGGCUAGAGGACUUCCUGAAAUUCCUUUAAACUCUAGAAUCCUUUAAAAUAUCAAGGGUGUGUAAACUGGGGCUAAGUAUGUACAUUCUCUCUAAAGGCUCCUAGAUAACCUUUGAGUUCAAUUCAGUGUGGAGUGGGGCCUCCCAGCUUAUACUUACCUUUCUAGACACUGACUUUUAUCUGGGAUGAGGGAGCAGAAUUUGGAGGUGGUAGUCAGGGCGGGGGUAGGGAGGGGAGUGGGUAAGGGAUAGUUGCACCAGCCCAACUUUUUUGGUCUUAAGAACAACCUGAACGCAAAUUACAGGGUCUUUUGUGGACUAGAAAAAGCCAGGUUUUCAGGAUCACGUGGCGUCCUGAAGUUGUUGCUGCUUGUCAGGGCAUCUGACCUCCAUCUUCUCUGCUGAAAGACAGGCAUGAGUGUUUGCAGUGCCGGAACAGGGGCCUUCAGAUAAUUUCAUUCAUCUGGCAUGGCAAGACCACAGGGAGGGAAUUACAUGCUAGGGUAGAGAUGAACUUAUGGACGUAUCAUGCACCUUGGUGUUUGCCCCUGUAGUGAUUCUCACUACCUUCGCUACCAUUGGAGGGAUGCUCACCCACCUCCUUGGGUGCCAUUUUUCUUUUUUAAAAGAUGAAGGCAUUUCAGAUGAUCCCUUCAUUUAUGUUCUACUUUCAUUCUUUGGUUUCAAAAGAAGUCCUGAUCUUAUGUCAAAGGCAACAAUCUCUUCUCUCAAUCUCUCUCUCUCUCUCACUCUCUCUCUCUGGCUCACUCUGUCACCCAGGUUGGAGUACAGUGGCAUGAUCUCAGCUCACUGCAGCCUCGACUUCCUGGGCUCAAGAAAUCCUCCUGUCUCUGCCUUCCGAGUAGCUGUGAUCACAGUUGUAUGCCAUCAUGCCCAG
rnacentral:lncRNA from 1 species